GAUGAACGCUGGCGGCGUGCCUAAUACAUGCAGGUCGAGCGAACAGACGAGGAGCUUGCUCCUCUGACGUUAGCGGCGGACGGGUGAGUAACACGUGGAUAACCUACCUAUAAGACUGGGAUAACUUCGGGAAACCGGAGCUAAUACCGGAUAAUAUAUUGAACCGCAUGGUUCAAUAGUGAAAGACGGUUUUGCUGUCACUUAUAGAUGGAUCCGCGCCGCAUUAGCUAGUUGGUAAGGUAACAGCUUACCAAGGCAACGAUGCGUAGCCGACCUGAGAGGGUGAUCGGCCACACUGGAACUGAGACACGGUCCAGACUCCUACGGGAGGCAGCAGUAGGGAAUCUUCCGCAAUGGGCGAAAGCCUGACGGAGCAACGCCGCGUGAGUGAUGAAGGUCUUCGGAUCGUAAAACUCUGUUAUUAGGGAAGAACAAAUGUGUAAGUAACUAUGCACGUCUUGACGGUACCUAAUCAGAAAGCCACGGCUAACUACGUG
rnacentral:rRNA from 1 species